rnacentral:rRNA from 1 species
CCCCUAGACGCUCUGGGCUGCACGCGCGCUACAAUAAUACGCACAGCGAGUAUCACCGAGCUCGAAAGGGCAAGGUAAACAAUAGAAAAGGUACUGUAAUGGUUAUAGAUCCUUGUAAUUAUUGAUCUUCAACGAGGAAUUCCUAGUAAGUAUGUGUCAUCAUCACGCACUGAUUACGUCCCUGCCCUUUGUACACACCGCCCGUCGCUCCUACCGAUUGGGUGAGCCGAUGAAACUCUCGGAUGUAGGCUAUUCAUAGCCCGCAGAAGAGAUUUGAAUCGUAGCGCUUAGAGGAAGGAGAAGUCGUAACA